GGGCACAGUGCGCGCGAGAAUGAGAAACUAAGGCUGAACUGCUUAAAGACUGAAGCAGUGUGAAGGCUUCUCAUUAUCAAACCAGCAGCAAGCUACAGAGUUCUUACUGCAGAAUACCAAAAAAGAAUUAAUGUUCAAAUCCUUGAAAAGCCCAGGGACAAACUGCAUAGCAGUGUUUUCAGCUCACUCCCAACUAGUGCAGCUAAAGGGAAAGGCACUCAGUGAUCUGCUGGGCAAAACGUGAGCCUUCUCCCCUUGAAUUCUGACCCGUGUGCUUGCUUCAGACAGC